ensembl:lncRNA
UGAAAUACACAGGUGUGCCCAGCCAGUGUACCACGUUGAAAUACACAGGUGUAGCCAGCCAGUGUACCACGUUGAAAUACACAGGUGUAUCCAGCCAGUAUACCACGUUGAAAUACACAGGUGUAGCCAGCCAGUAUACCAUGUUGAAAUACACAGGUGUAGCCAGCCAGUAUACCAUGUUGAAAUACACAGGUGUAUCCAGCCAGUAUACUGUAUACCACGUUGAAAUACACAGGUGUAUCCAGCCAGUAUACUGUAUACUAUGUUGAAAUACACAGGCGUAUCCAGCCAGUAUACCACGUUGAAAUACACAGGUGUAUCCAGCCAGUAUACCAUGUUGAAAUACACAGGUGUAUCCAGCCAGUAUACCAUGUUGAAAUACACAGGUGUAUCCAGCCAGUAUACCAUGUUGAAAUACACAGGUGUAUCCAGCCAGUAUACCAUGUUGAAAUACACAGGUGUAUCCAGCCAGUAUACCAUGUUGAAAUACACAGGUGUAUCCAGCCAGUAUACCAUGUUGAAAUACACAGGUGUAUCCAGCCAGUAUACUGUAUACCACGUUGAAAUACACAGUCGUAUCCAGCCAGUGUACAGUAUACCAUGUUGAAAUACACAGGUGUAGCCAGCCAGUAUACCACGUUGAAAUACACAGGCGUAUCCAGCCAGUAUACUGUAUACCAUGUUGAAAUACACAGGCGUAUCCAGCCAGUAUACUGUAUACCAUGUUGAAAUACACAGGCGUAUCCAGCCAGUAUACUGUAUACCAUGUUGAAAUACACAGGUGUAUCCAGCCAGUAUACUGUAUACCACGUUGAAAUACACAGGUGUAGUACUAUUCUAGGAUUUGUUCAUUACCAAGUUGGAACAUAUUUUUAUUGCAUAUUAUAAUGCUUGUUGUUGUUGUUGUUGUUGUAUAUCCUCUGCCUUGACGAUGGAAGUAUCCGGUUGAUCCGAUUCGAGGUGACGCUGGCGUCAUGAAAUAAAAGCACAUAUAUAUACUUUAUGAAAUAAUGUUUACACUCCUGUUGUUUAUUAAAAAUAAAAUUUAAAAAGGCAUUGUUAAUUCAAAUGUCUGUAUUUCAAUAUACUUAUUUUAUACCGUUUUAUAAGUGACAUAUAUAUAUAUAUAUUGUGUAUGAAAAGCCUUGUAAUUGUUGUAAUCACUUGAUGUGAUUUUUGUGCAUUUGACAUCAGUGUCUCGUUGUAUUUUUUUCAAUAUUAAAAGGACCCAGAGCAGUCAAAAAAAA